rnacentral:pre_miRNA from 1 species
AUCACCUGGGGAUCUUGUUAAGAUGCAGGUACUGAUUUGGCAGGUUACAGGUGGGGCCUGGGAGUCUGCAUUUCUAACAAGCUACCAGGUGAUGCUGA